UCAUAUAAUUUUAAUUGGGGAUUUUUAUAAAAAUUAAGAAAGUUUGGCUAAAGGGCUUAUUUGAAAAGAAUUUUAGUAUUUUGGGUCCAAGUGUAAUUUUUAAAAAUAAAUAAAUAAAUAAAUAAAUAAAAUAAAAUAAAAUAAAAGGCUUCAGCCUUUCAUUUUACCCGAGCCCCCCCUCUCUCUCUCUCUCCUCAGAAAACCUCUCUCUCUCUCCCUCUCUCUCUCUCUCUCUCUCUCCUCUGCGUAUUACUGUUGCCGACGACGCAGGAGUACUUUCCGGCCACCAUUUUUAGCCACGCGCCGGACCGUUGGAUUCAGAGGCCUCCGAACUAUCGACCCACGCGGGAAUCUAGAGCUCACUCGCCGAUUAAACGCCUCAACCACUCGAUUUAAGUUCGGCCACCCCGCGACUUCAAAGUUGCGAUUCGGCCACCUCGGGCAUCCGUUUGCCGAUCCGUCACCACCAUCGUGCUCCUCGUGUUGUGGGCUUCAAAACCCAAUAACUUGUUCCUACAUCUACCAUAGUUGGGUGGUGGGCCCACCACGAGCCACCGCGAUCCACCGUAGACCGACGGUCGAAACUUAGUGUUCGAGGUUCCGAAGUACGUUUUGAGUCUCAGAAAAUCAUCGUUUGACUUAUUGUGGAACCCGAUCAUUUUGGAUUUGUAUGGAUUUGAUUGAUUGACUCUUGGUGAGGAAUUUUAAAAUAAGCUAAGGACCUAAGGGCAAGAAGUCGGUUUUGACAACGAAAGGGUUUCACAGAGACUUGGUUUUAAAGAAUAAUCUUCAUCGGCUAUAUAAUUGUUUUCUAGUUAUCCAAUUUUUUUUAUGCCGAAAAACUUUCUAUUGAACAAACUUGUUGCUCAAUUUAGCAUCUAUUAUCAAGGUAUAACCAGUCAAUUGCAUCUGCUUAAAAAAAAAAAAAAAAAAAUUGACUGUAAGACAUGAAGAUCAAGGAUGUUUUCAUGAUGAUGGUCAUUUUCUCUUCUUACGUUAUGUGGUUUGUGUUCAAAAGUAUGGAUGAUGAGGAUUCGUUUGUAUUUUCGUAUACAUUCAUCGUAAUUUAUACUAUUGUUAUAGCUUAUUUCCUUUCUAUCUAUAUUGUAGUCCUCAUGUGAGGUGUUUACACAUCCUCGCCUUUUUAUAUAUGAUAAGGAUUACAAGAAGUCAGGAAUAAGUUUUG